rnacentral:rRNA from 1 species
UAGGGAAUCUUCCACAAUGGACGAAAGUCUGAUGGAGCAACGCCGCGUGAGUGAAGAAGGGUUUCGGCUCGUAAAGCUCUGUUGUUAAAGAAGAACACGUAUGAGAGUAACUGUUCAUACGUUGACGGUAUUUAACCAGAAAGUCACGGCUAACUACGUGCAG